UCUGGUGGUUAUAGCGAGGGGCCUGCACCCGAUCCCAUCUCGAACUCGGACGUGAAAACCCUCAGCGCUGAUGGUACUAUGCCUUAAGGCCCGGGAGAGUAAGACGCUGCCAGAU
rnacentral:rRNA from 1 species